rnacentral:rRNA from 1 species
AUUGAACGCUGGCGGCAGGCCUAACACAUGCAAGUCGAGCGAGCGGCGGACGGGUGAGUAAUGUCUGGGAAACUGCCUGAUGGAGGGGGAUAACUACUGGAAACGGUAGCUAAUACCGCAUACCAUCAGAUGUGCCCAGAUGGGAUUAGCUAGUAGGUGGGGUAACGGCUCACCUAGGCGACGAUCCCUAGCUGGUCUGAGAGGAUGACCAGCCAAACGGGAACUGAGACACGGUCCAGACUCCGACGGGAGGCAGCAGUGGGGAAUAUGUGACAAUGGGCGCAAGCCUGAUGCAGCCAUGCCGCGUGUGUGAAGAAGGCCUUCGGGUUGUAAAGCACUGUCAGCGGGGAGGCGUUACCCGAAGAAGAAGCACCGGCUAACUACGUGCCAGCAGCCGCGGUAAUUC